rnacentral:tRNA from 1 species
AGGGGUGUAGCUCAAUUGGCAGAGCAACGGCCUCCAAAUCCGUAGGUUGAGGGUUCAAGUCCUUCCGCCCCUG